UGAGAAAGCCACAUAGGACCUCUCCGUC
rnacentral:piRNA from 1 species